UCAAAAAUUACCUUCAGAUUUCAAUUACGAAAUAUAAUUUUUUAACCAAUCAUGAUUUUUUUCUCAUCGAUAUUGUUGGUCACUAAACAACAUAUAGAUAAAUACAACUAGCUAGUCAAAUUGGCAAAUAUAAUCACAUGUGAUUUGCAAGAUCUCAAAGAAUCCAUAAAAAUAUGCCGUGCUACUUAAAGAUUUUACAUUGAGGAAUAAUAAUUUGACUCUGUAUAUUGAUUUUAUGGUUAUU
rnacentral:lncRNA from 1 species